GCUUCUGUGGUCCAAUGGUUAGGAUUCCACCCUUCCACAUUUACUCUUCGGAGUAGUUGCUAGGUGGAGGUUCGUGUUCGAUUCACGGCAGUUGCA
rnacentral:tRNA from 1 species